GACUGCGUCGCUUAGUGGUUAGAGCAUCUCGUUGUGGUUUGAACUCUUCUGUGAGCAGCCCCGAGAAGACGGGUGUUCGAUUCACCCCGCGGUCA
rnacentral:tRNA from 1 species